rnacentral:rRNA from 1 species
GAUGAACGCCGGCGGCGUGCUUAACACAUGCAAGUCGAACGGUGAAGGAGAGCUUGCUCUCCGGAUCAGUGGCGAACGGGUGAGUAACACGUGAGCAAUCUGCCCCUGACUCUGGGAUAAGCGCUGGAAACGGCGUCUAAUACCGGAUACGAGCUGCGAAGGCAUCUUCAGCAGCUGGAAAGAAUUUCGGUCAGGGAUGAGCUCGCGGCCUAUCAGCUAGUUGGUGAGGUAACGGCUCACCAAGGCGUCGACGGGUAGCCGGCCUGAGAGGGUGACCGGCCACACUGGGACUGAGACACGGCCCAGACUCCUACGGGAGGCAGCAGUGGGGAAUAUUGCACAAUGGGCGAAAGCCUGAUGCAGCAACGCCGCGUGAGGGACGACGGCCUUCGGGUUGUAAACCUCUUUUAGCAGGGAAGAAGCGAAAGUGACGGUACCUGCAGAAAAAGCACCGGCUAACUACGUGCCAGCCGCCGCAGUAACAC